rnacentral:rRNA from 1 species
UACGAAGGGGGCUAGCGUUGCUCGGAAUCACUGGGCGUAAAGCGCACGUAGGCGGAUUGUUAAGUCAGGGGUGAAAUCCUGGAGCUCAACUCCAGAACUGCCUUUGAUACUGGCGAUCUUGAGUCCGGGAGAGGUGAGUGGAACUGCGAGUGUAGAGGUGAAAUUCGUAGAUAUUCGCAAGAACACCAGUGGCGAAGGCGGCUCACUGGCCCGGUACUGACGCUGAGGUGCGAAAGCGUGGGGAGCAACAGGG